UUUCGGGCAUUUCCGGCAAGCU
rnacentral:miRNA from 10 species